UUGAACGCUGGCGGCAUGCCUUACACCUGCACGUCGAACGGUAACAGGUCUUCGGAUGCUGACGAGUGGCGAACGGGUGAGUAAUACAUCGGAACGUGCCCGAUCGUGGGGGAUAACGAGGCGAAAGCUUUGCUAAUACCGCAUACGAUCUACGGAUGAAAGCGGGGGAUCUUCGGACCUCGCGCGGACGGAGCGGCCGAUGGCAGAUUAGGUAGUUGGUGGGAUAAAAGCUUACCAAGCCGACGAUCUGUAGCUGGUCUGAGAGGAUGAUCAGCCACACUGGGACUGAGACACGGCCCAGACUCCUACGGGAGGCAGCAGUGGGGAAUUUUGGACAAUGGGCGAAAGCCUGAUCCAGCCAUGCCGCGUGCAGGAUGAAGGCCUUCGGGUUGUAAACUGCUUUUGUACGGAACGAAAAGCCUCUUUCUAAUAAAGAGGGGUCAUGACGGUACCGUAAGAAUAAGCACCGGCUAACUACGUG
rnacentral:rRNA from 1 species